GGCCAAGUUAAAUAAUACUUGAAUCACCUAACCAACAUUCUAUAAGCAGGUAAUUAUCUCAUCCACAUCGCAGCCCCAUGUUUUAAAACUCAUUCAUACAUGACAGAGCAUUCUUAAUAAACCUUCUUCAGUAAUACUUUCUCACAAAUAAAGUCAGCACACCACUAGUCCACAACCAAUUUACUAGCCUGACAUCAAUCAUGGUCACCCAAGAGUAUACCAGGAAAACAUAUAUAGUUAGUCUUACCCCUUAAAACAGAGCAGCAAUAUUAAACAAAGCAUGAAUUUCCUCCCCUUUCAAAUCACAGUUAGUAUAAUUCAUAAUAUGCAUCCCAACCAUCAAUCUCAUCUUCAUUUACUUAACAUAUUCGUAUUUCAGCCCUAAUUUACAUAUGGACAGUAGUUUAGAAUUAAAACAGUCACACAUCAUCACAAAUGAUACCCACAAUCACCAAAGUUUAUUAUCACUAUUUCUACAAAUUUUCCUUCUACUAACAUGUUCAUUCUAGUGUCCAGAUUAUUCAUUCAUUGUAAAAAAAAAAAUUACUUUACAAAAAAAUGGCAGUAGACUAAUAAGGUUCACACAUGGUUACAUUCAUUCACUCAUCCAAUUCAACACACAUAUAUGUGCAUUACACGUUGACAACAAUGAAAAUUCAAUUAACAUCAUCAAUAUCACCCAUUUCCAUGUUCAAAUCUGAUAGCAUCAUAGUCCAAACACCACACAACAUCUAUUCAUCUUUCAUGCAUAAUUCUAACUCCAACAUGAAACACAUUAUGCAAAGGUUAUAAGCAUUUAAGCUUAAUUACCAAUUUAUUCUCAUAAUACCCAGAGCGAAAAAAAUAAUAACCAAACCAAUCCAUUAUGAAAACAACAAACCAAUUUCAGAUCACAAGUUAUCCACCAAGGUCGUAUUGCGUCAAGAAUCGGGCAUUCAAACCGUCAACAACAAUACAUACAAGUUAGCUCCCUAUACCUGGAAAAUUAGCUUUUCCUCACUGCUCAACUCUUUCCACCAAUUUCCGCAGCCUCAUGCGUUCGGCACUCCACUCGAACAACCUCCCCAACUUGCUACCCGUGCCUCGUAAAUUCUCUCUCACUCUUAGACUUUCCAGAAUAUUUGUUUUGGUCCCCCCAAACUCUCAACUAUUCGCCCAAUUUAGAGACUCGCUCACCACUCCAAAAUAAAUGUCGCGAACCCUAGAAAUUUAAUCCCUCCAAUUCUUCUUCCCCAUAAGGCACCUCACUUUCUCUUAAUUUCUAUACUUUCGUUACUCUCUGAAGCAUUGGAUUUCUUUCAUCACGCCGCAUAGAAAAAAAAAACAAAACCCCCCUUAUACUAAAUCCUCUAGCAUUAUGUGCUUGCACCUUGUUGAUAGAAACUGUAAUGAUGUAAAAUCCAAUUGUUUGCUGGUUUAGUAUCAAUAUAUGUUAAAUAAGGCUUUUAAAAAAAUAUUAUGGGUGGUUGAUAUAUAUUAAUAGUAAUGGAAUAACUGGGUUCUGACGAAGAAGAAUGGAAUGUGCUUUAGUCAAUUGGGGGUUUGGGUAUUAACUUAUAAUUGGCUUGGAAAGUUAAACUUAAGGAUAUAGUGCCUAGGGAAAUUUUUCUGGUUAUGUUGUUGUUUGGUGCAGUUGUAAUGUCAGUGAA
rnacentral:sRNA from 1 species